AAUUUAGUUCGGUUCUACUAAUGCUACUUAAUUAUGUUGCAUAACAUGAGCUAAUUAUGGUUGUUUAUCCUCGUAUUAUACUAAUUCGCCUGUUUAGAUUUAUGUAUGUAUGAAUAAGGUCUCUAUCUUGCAUUCUAGGACCAUAUAAAUCACAUUUCAUGUCAUACCAAAUUUUUGUCUUGGGUUGUUUUUUUCUGGUAUGGAUGGGAAUAUCUUUAAGCUUUUCGAUGUUUUCAUUUUAUCGCGUGUUCGAUUCCAUUACCCUUUCAAUAAUGAUGAUGAUUGUUGUUGAUUUGAUCUCCAUUACCAACUACUCCACCUAAUUUCUAUAUAUAUGCUGCGAGAGAAGCUUCUCCCUAUUCUGGUCACGCUUUAGCGACUUCAUACCAAAAGCUUCACAAUCAUUAUAUUUAAAAGUGGGGGUGUAUGGGACCAAGUUUCUUCAAUUUAUUUCCUUUUCAAAAGGCCCCAACUUAAAUUUCUUUUUUCUUUGUGUCCCAACCUUUUUAGUCAGCUUGUAGUUUGGACUCAUUAUUACAGAAUGUUUGAACAUGAUGAUUAUUUUGAACUGAAUAAAGCUAGUUUGGGGUGAGGAGGCAGAAAAAAGGAAGCGAUAUUGGUGAGGUUCAAUCCGAAGACGGAUCUUAUUAGAGGUACUGGAAUUAUUAUUGUAAGAUACGAUCUCAGAUUGAGCCGCGCCAAUAUCACUCUCUGCUAACUGUAUCAAUUGUAAAGAUAUGAUCUCAGAUUGAGCCGCACCAGUAUCACUCUUUGCUAGCUGUAUCAAUGUUCUCUGACUUAUUUUAUGGAUACCCUUUUUCUGUUAGAAUUGUAAAGAUAUGAUCUCGCUAAUAUCACACUGUCUGAGCAUGAUCUGUUAAUAAAGUUGCAUAUCUGUUGGAUCUUCUAUUUCUGCAAUAUAGUAGGUACAUAAUUUCACUUUCCAGAAAUGGAAAUCUUGCUUGGUUGAAAGUUAAACAACUUUUGCUUCUUUCCCUGCCAUUUUAUGUGUAUCAGCCUGCAAGGUUUUGCUCUACCUUCCGUACGGGGAGAAGCCUAUCAAUCAUACAACAUCCAGCCAUCCAAGGUGUCGUAUUAGACGACCGAGCUAUGGUCAAGGUAAUCAAUAAGUUGAAGUCUUCCUUGACCAAGACUCAUACAGCUUUCUCUUGUCGUAGCCCGAGCUCGACUCAGACUGGAGCGUGACAGUCUCGGGUACAGGAGCCGACACAAACUCCUCGGAGAGACCGGGAUUCUUUUGAGGGCGGGCCGUGUACGUCCGAUGUGGGGACAAUUCAGAGGCCUCCGCAGCAGCCGGUGGAGCCUAGGAGGAGUUGUGCGGGUCAACAUGAGGUUCGAGUAGGGGUGAAAGUUCGGUUUUCGGUUUGGAUUAAGGCCCAAACCGAAUCCAAACCGAACUAAUUCGGUUUUCAUUUUUUGAAACCGAAUCCAAACCAAAUAACCUUUUAAUCCAAAUCAAACCAAACCGUAUUUUUAAUUUUCAGUCCAAUCCAAACCGCAGAACCGAAUUUUCAUGGGCCUUUCAUUUGGACCUGUUUUUGGGCCUAUAUUAUACUUGUUUUUAGCCAAUUUUUGGACCCUUAUUAUACUUUUUAGCCAAGUUCGGUUUAUUCGGUUUUAGUUCGGUUUAUUCGGUUUUAGUUCGGUUUAUUCGGUUUCAGACUUUUCAAUCCAAUCCAAACCAUAAAACCAAUUUUUUUUAAAACCUCAGUCCAAACUGAACCGAAUAGAUAAAAAAACCGAACCGAAUUUCUUAUUCGGUUCGGUUCGGUUUGGUUUUCGGUUUUUUGCUACCAAACUUUCACCCCUAGCUAGGUUCGAGUGCCUUAGACGGGUUGGCACCCACUGUUGCUUGCUACUUCUGAGCUUGGUUGGACUGUGCCUCCUUUCAGCAACCUUACGUUGCGGGAUAUAUGCCGAUGUUGCUAUCGCAGCCGUCGAUCUGGACGGGUGGACAAUCUUAGAGCUGGGGACCACCUCUAUCAUACCAUUUUACGAGCAAUGAUAUGUUUAGCGGAUCUCAGGCAGCGCAGGAUGCUAGUUCGGGUGAUCUACAGGCCGAGGAUGGUCUCUUUUGGGGUAGUGUACGACCUCCGGGAUUUUGAGGGGACAUGAUGCCCGAUAGAUGUUUUAUUAGACCAUGUACAUAUAUUUAGAUAUGUAGUUGUACUUUAUGUAUUUUGUGUUCGUAUUUUCGUCAGACUUGUACGUAUUCAAUAUUACUUUUUCGUACUUGCAUUUUUAAUUUGCCUGAGUUGCACCGAA